ensembl:lncRNA
AGGAGACAUACGACCCUCAGGAUGAAAUCUGUUGCAACGGACUCAAUUCUUCUGACUCUACCCUGCUACAAGCGCACAUGACUCAGCAGGUGGAGGGUUAUGCAUGUUAUGCUGCAGAGGGAAGACCUACGACCCCAGCAGUGGCCAGAUGAAGUCCGUUGCCGGGACUCUGUACGACCUUCAGGUUCAGGACAGGCUCUCAGAGGAUGCCCAGUGCUGUGGGAAUCUCCUGAUGGAGGCCGGCUCCACCUGCUGCUCCGACCCAGGACUAGACCUGCUCUACCCUACCCAGCCAGGGUUCACCUGCUGUGGGCACCGAUACCCCAACUCCUCCCUGUGGUCUUGCUGUGCGGGGGUCCUGCACCCAAGGCUUGAACCACACACCACCAGCAUGAACAUGACUCCAGGACCUAGGAUUCUACCACUGGGGAGCCUGAAGACGGAAGUCCUGUGUGACACCAGAGUUCUGCUAGGGACAGUGGAGAGUGUGUCUGUGAAGAGGAAUGAGCGGUCCAUCAUGAUGGGGAAGGUCAUGUCCAUGCAGGCCUUGUGUGGCCCUGUCAACGCCCUGCCUGCCCCUCACUACCUCACAUACUGCAGCUCUACUGAACUGGUGCCGGGCAACACUGACAUCUGGGUGGAAACAAGACAUUUCUCAGAAACAGUAAACUUCAUCUCUGAUCUCAGCGACUAUUCCUCCCUUCUCUCUUCCACCCUCUCCAGGUGCUCAAAAUUAUACUUUAACCAUAUUUUUUGAUGCUAUAUGGUGUUUGUUUAUAUUUACAUUGUUUACAAACAAUAGCUUUAAAAAAAGCUAAUUUUGUGUUCUGAUGGGGAAGGACAGUUUAUCUAAACUCGUGAGGCACACGUUAUAUUCUUCAAGAAUCAUUUGGUAUAUGAUUAGUUUACAGAUUGCCCCUUUAAGCUGUCAGUGGAUGUUUAAGAUAUUUUGAUUUGCUUACAAAAAACGACCGUGUUUAUGCUCUCUCAUGAGUCAUAUCUCAGGAUAAGCCAUAUGUAUGAUGUUUGUCUGGUUAGUGUUUUCUGUUAUUCUAUCACAAAAGUUCCUUUUUAAUGUUAUUGCAUUUUUAUGCAGAUCCAGCUAACAAACCAGGCUGGGUCUGAUGUAACCAUAUAGACAGCAGAGAAGUUGCCUGAACAAGCAAGCUUUGUAGCCAUGAGCAAUGUUUCUCCUCAGGGUCAGUGGGAACCCGUCGUUCAGGGCAGUUUUGAGCCCCACCUGUUUAGCUGAAAUGAAAAUGAAAAUAUAUUAUACAGUACCGGUAAAAAGUUUGGACACACCAACUCAUUCAAGGGUUUUCCUUUAUUUGUAUUAUUUUCUACAUUGUAGAAUAAUAGUGAAUACAUCAAAACUAUGACAUAACACAUAUGGAAUCAUGUAGUAACCAAAAAAGUGUUAAACAAAUCAAAAUAUAUUUUAUAUUUUUCAAAGUAGACACUCUUUGCCUUGAUGACAGCUUUGCACACUCCUGGCAUUCUCUCAACCAUCUUCAUGAAGAAUGCUUUUCCAUCAGUCUUGAAGGAGUUCCCACAUAUGCUGAGCAAUCAAAUUUGGACUCAUCAGACCAAAAACCAGAUUUCCAACUCUCUAAUGUCCAUUGCUCGUGUUUCUUGUCCAAAGGAAGACUCUUCUUCCUAUUGAUGUCCUUUAGUAGUGGUUUAUAUGCAGAAAUUCGACCACGAAGGCCUGAUUUCAAGCAGUUUCCUGUGAACGGUUGAUGUUGAGAUGUGUCUGUUACAUGAAUUAUGUGAAGAAUUUAUUUGGGCUACAAUCUGAGGUGCAGUUAACUCUAAUGAACUUAUCCUCUGCAGCAGAGGAGAGCAAGUUUCAUAAUAGCAUUUGAUGGUUUUUGUGAAUGUUCCGUACUGAUUGACCUUCAUGUCUUCAAGUAACGAUGGACUGUUGUUUCUCGUUGAUUAUUAAAGCUGUUCUUGCCAUAUGGACUUGGUCUUAUCAAAUAGGGCUAUCUUCUGUAUACCACUCUUACCUUGGUCACAAUACAAAUGAUUGGCUCAAAUUCCACAAAUUAACUUUCAACAAGGCACACCUGUUAGCGGACGACACAACAGUGGUAGGCUUGAUUACCAACAACAACGAGACGGCCUACAGGGAGGAGGUGAGGGCCCUCGGAGUGUGGUGUCAGGAAAAUAACCUCAUACUCAACGUCAACAAAACUAAGGAGAUGAUUGUGGACUUCAGGAAACAGCAGAGGGAACACCUCCCUAUCCACAUCGAUGGAACAGUAGUGGAGAAGGUAGCAAGUUUUAAGUUCCUCGGCAUACACAUCACAGACAAACUGAAUUGGUCCACCCACACAGACAGCAUCGUGAAGAAGGCGCAGCAGCGCCUCUUCAACCUCAGGAGGCUGAAGAAAUUUGGCUUGUCACCAAAAGCACUCACAAACUUCUACAGAUGCACAAUCGAGAGCAUCCUGGUGGGCUGUAUCACCGACCUGGUACGGCAACUGCUCCGCCCACAACCGUAAGGCUCUCCAGAGGGUAGUGAGGUCUGCACAACGCAUCACCGGGGGCAAACUACCUGCCCUCCAGGACACCUACACCACCCGAUGUUACAGGAAGGCCAUAAAGAUCAUCAAGGACAACAACCACCCGAGCCACUGUCUGUUCACCCCGCUACCAGAAGGCGAGGUCAGUACAGGUGCAUCAAAGCUGGGACCGAGAG